UCCCUGGUGGUCUAGUAGUUUGGACUUGGCGUUUUCACCACUGUGGCCCGGGUUCAAUCCCUGGUCUGGGAA
rnacentral:tRNA from 1 species